rnacentral:rRNA from 1 species
CCCUUAGAUGUUCUGGGCCGCACGCGCGCUACACUGAUGCGUUCAACAAGUUUCCUUGGCCGAGAGGCCUGGGCAAUCUUCUUAAUAUGUAUCGUGAUAGGGAUAGAUUAUUGCAAUUAUUAAUCUUGAACGAGGAAUUCCUAGUAAACGCAGAUCAUCAAUCUGCAUUGAUUACGUCCCUGCCCUUUGUACACACCGCCCGUCGCACCUACCGAUUGGAUGUUCCGGUGAAGCCUCGAGAUGAGGACUGGUGCCUUUAUUGGCAUGAGUUGUUCAGAACUUGUCUAAACCUUAUCAUCUAGAGGAAGGUGAAGUCGUAACA